GAUGAACGCUGGCGGCGUGCCUAAUACAUGCAAGUCGAGCGAACGGACGAGAAGCUUGCUUCUCUGAUGUUAGCGGCGGACGGGUGAGUAACACGUGGAUAACCUACCUAUAAGACUGGGAUAACUUCGGGAAACCGGAGCUAAUACCGGAUAAUAUUUUGAACCGCAUGGUUCAAAAGUGAAAGACGGUCUUGCUGUCACUUAUAGAUGGAUCCGCGCUGCAUUAGCCAGUUGGUAAGGUAACGGCUUACCAAGGCAACGAUGCAUAGCCGACCUGAGAGGGUGAUCGGCCACACUGGAACUGAGACACGGUCCAGACUCCUACGGGAGGCAGCAGUAGGGAAUCUUCCGCAAAGGGCGAAAGCCUGACGGAGCAACGCCGCGUGAGUGAUGAAGGUCUUCGGAUCGUAAAACUCUGUUAUUAGGGAAGAACAUAUGUGUAAGUAACUGUGCACAUCUUGACGGUACCUAAUCAGAAAGCCACGGCUAACUACGUG
rnacentral:rRNA from 1 species